rnacentral:rRNA from 1 species
AUUGAACGCUGGCGGCAGGCCUAACACAUGCAAGUCGAGCGAGCGGCGGACGGGUGAGUAAUGUCUGGGAAACUGCCUGAUGGAGGGGGAUAACUACUGGAAACGGUAGCUAAUACCGCAUACCAUCAGAUGUGCCCAGAUGGGAUUAGCUAGUAGGUGGGGUAACGGCUCACCUAGGCGACGAUCCCUAGCUGGUCUGAGAGGAUGACCAGCAACAUUGGAACGGAGACACGGUCCUGACUCCGACGGGAGGAAGCAGUGGGGAAUAUUGCACAAUGGGCGCAAGCCUGAUGCAGCCAUGCCGCGUGUGUGAAGAGGGCCUUCGGGUUGUAAAGCACUUUCGGCGGGGAGGCGUUGCCCGCAGAAGAAGCACCGGCUAACGCCGUGCCAGCAGCCGCGGUAAUUC